rnacentral:lncRNA from 12 species
GCAUAGUUGUCCCCCUCACUCUACAGUAAUGGACUGCUUAGUAGACUAACUUUAUGGUCAAUAGAUAUAGGCUAUUUAGUAAAGUCUUUUGCUCAAAAUGUAUUUUCUAAUGUGAUUUGAUUAAAUUUUAUUGAUUUGAAUUCUUUUCAGAAUCAACUAAACCAGAGCACAGAUCAAAUUACAAGAUUCUACAUUCAAUUCCCUACCUUGCUUUCUUGGUAACACAGGAUGAAUGCCUUCAGUUGUGGUAAAAACGAUGCCAGAUAUUCCACAAAGCGCUGUAUUAAUUUGACAACAAGCAAUUAAAAUUACAAAAACUAAUUAGGAGAAGAAAAUACAUUGCUGAUGAAACCAGGAAACCUACCUACAGGCUUCACCAGGUAGACUAGGAUGUGUCUCAACCCACAUGAAAUAUAUGAGAAUAUAUAGGCUAUUUCCAAGUUAUGAUGUGAUUAAUUGUAAUAUAUC